CAUUCAGUAGCGAGCUUAACCGAGUAGGGGAGGCGUAGGGAAACCGAGUCUUAAUAGGGCGACUAGUUGCUGGAUGUAGACCCGAAACCGAGUGAUCUAUCCAUGGCCAGGAUGAAGGUGCGGUAAAACGCAUUGGAGGUCCGAACCCACGCAUGUUGCAAAAUGCGGGGAUGAGCUGUGGAUAGGGGUGAAAGGCUAAACAAACUCGGAGAUAGCUGGUUCUCCCCGAAAACUAUUUAGGUAGUGCCUCGAGUAUGAGACUGAUGGGGGUAAAGCACUGUUAUGGCUAGGGGGUUAUUGCAACUUACCAACCCAUGGCAAACUAAGAAUACCAUCAAGUUGCUCCUCGGGAGACAGACAUCGGGUGCUAACGUCCGGUGUCAAGAGGGAAACAACCCAGACCGCCAGCUAAGGUCCCAAAUGAUAGAUUAAGUGGUAAACGAAGUGGGAAGGCACAGACAGCCAGGAUGUUGGCUUAGAAGCAGCCAUCAUUUAAAGAAAGCGUAAUAGCUCACUGGUCGAGUCUUCCUGCGCGGAAGAUGUAACGGGGCUCAAAUCUAUAACCGAAGCUGCGGAUAUACUUUUGUAUAUGGUAGGGGAGCGUUCUGUAAGCCUAUGAAGGUGACUUGUAAAGGUUGCUGGAGGUAUCAGAAGUGCGAAUGUUGACAUGAGUAGCGAUAAAGUGGGUGAAAAGCCCGCUCGCCGAAAGCCCAAGGUUUCCUACGCAACGUUCAUCGGCGUAGGGUGAGUCGGUCCCUAAGGCGAGGCAGAAAUGCGUAGUCGAUGGGAAACAGGUUAAUAUUCCUGUACUUUGAUUCAAUGCGAUGUGGGGACGGAGAAGGUUAGGUUAGCAAACUGUUGGAAUAGUUUGUUUAAGCCAGUAGGUGGAAAGAGUAGGCAAAUCCGCUCUUUCUUAACACCGAGACGUGAUGACGAGUGUCUACGGACAUGAAGUGACCAAUACCACGCUUCCAGGAAAAGCCACUAAGCUUCAGUUGAAUCAGAACCGUACCGCAAACCGACACAGGUGGGCAGGAUGAGAAUUCUAAGGCGCUUGAGAGAACUCGGGAGAAGGAACUCGGCAAAUUGAUACCGUAACUUCGGGAGAAGGUAUGCCCUCUAAUGUUAAGGACUUGCUCCGUAAGCAUCUGAGGGUCGCAGAGAAUCGGUGGCUGCGACUGUUUAUUAAAAACACAGCACUCUGCUAACACGAAAGUGGACGUAUAGGGUGUGACGCCUGCCCGGUGCUGGAAGGUUAAUUGAAGAUGUGCAAGCAUCGGAUCGAAGCCCCAGUAAACGGCGGCCGUAACUAUAACGGUCCUAAGGUAGCGAAAUUCCUUGUCGGGUAAGUUCCGACCCGCACGAAUGGCGUAACGAUGGCCACACUGUCUCCUCCCGAGACUCAGCGAAGUUGAAAUGGUUGUGAAGAUGCAAUCUCCCCGCUGCUAGACGGAAAGACCCCGUGAACCUUUACUGUAGCUUUGCAUUGGACUUUGAAGUCACUUGUGUAGGAUAGGUGGGAGGCUUUGAAGCAGAGACGCCAGUCUCUGUGGAGCCGUCCUUGAAAUACCACCCUGGUGACUUUGAGGUUCUAACCCAGACUCGUUAUCCGGGUCGGGGACCGUGCAUGGUAGGCAGUUUGACUGGGGCGGUCUCCUCCCAAAGAGUAACGGAGGAGUUCGAAGGUUACCUAGGUCCGGUCGGAAAUCGGACUGAUAGUGCAAUGGCAAAAGGUAGCUUAACUGCGAGACCGACAAGUCGAGCAGGUGCGAAAGCAGGACAUAGUGAUCCGGUGGUUCUGAAUGGAAGGGCCAUCGCUCAACGGAUAAAAGGUACUCCGGGGAUAACAGGCUGAUUCCGCCCAAGAGUCCAUAUCGACGGCGGAGUUUGGCACCUCGAUGUCGGCUCAUCACAUCCUGGGGCUGUAGUCGGUCCCAAGGGUAUGGCUGUUCGCCAUUUAAAGUGGUACGUGAGCUGGGUUUAAAACGUCGUGAGACAGUUUGGUCCCUAUCUGCAGUGGGCGUUGGAAGUUUGAUGGGGGCUGCUCCUAGUACGAGAGGACCGGAGUGGACGAACCUCUGGUGUACCGGUUGUUUCGCCAGAAGCAUAGCCGGGUAGCUAAGUUCGGAAGAGAUAAGCGCUGAAAGCAUCUAAGCGCGAAACUCGCCCAAAGAUGAGACUUCCCUUGUGGUUUAACCAUACUAAAGAGUCGUUCGAGACCAGGACGUUGAUAGGUUGGGUGUGGAAGAGUGGUAACACUUGAAGCUAACCAAUACUAAUUGCUCGUGAGGCUUGACUCU
rnacentral:rRNA from 1 species